UGGCCAUCCCAGGCAAGAGUGCUAAUGUGAGGGCCAAGAGUUUUGGAGUAGAGGCCUUGAUAGCACUAGAUAGCCUGAUUGCUGAGUCUAUUUCUACCAAAGGAUAAGGCACACAUCUAUAUGGAUACCGCAUAAAAACCACUCAUGGAGGUACAGAGGGAGGCUCUUCGCGAUUGCUUUGAUGCUACGUGACGAGGAUUAUCUGCGCCAAAUCUGCAGAAAAGGAACCUGGCAGAUCAUGUUCCUUAACCAGAUGCGAAGAAAAGUCAAUGACAUAGAAGGCUGUGGACCACCUAGAAAUGAUGGGGAUUGGCUAAGUAGAAGAAAAUUCAUGUGGCAGCCAUGGUGGGAGCUGAAAGAGAAGAUUCGCCACAGUUGGGAUCUGUGUGUUCCGUCCAGGAGGAAGAUGUCUUGUGGAUUCUGAGGAGAGCCGGGGCUGCUACACUGACCCAGGAGCCUGACUGGCCAGUGUCAUCCUCUUGCUGUCUUUCCCAGCCAGUCUGCAGCUCCCCAGAGGACCCACUGUUACUUAUCUCCUGGGCACCUAGUUCCUGCCUGCAAUAUCCUUCAGCUUAGACUGACUUCAUUUCGUGAUAUCCUUUACCCAGAGUCCUUUUUUUCACACCUCACAGACCAUCACCAGAGGAAACAGGCCGAAUGCAGUCUUCAGGCAGGGAAGUUCUUUUGUUCUUUCUCAUGUUUUUGAUUUUUGAUCAGCUUUGGAAUAGGACUCUGGCUCAGUGUGUGUUACACUUUAAUUAAUUGGUCUGUAUAUGCAUCUCUCUCUCUCUCUUUCUCUGUGUGUGUGUGUGUGUGUGUGUGUGCAGGUGUGAUGCAAAUGUGUUUUUGGUGGCUGGAAAUUGACACCAGGUGCCUUCCUCAGUUGCUCUCCACCUUAUUUUUUUCAGACAAGAUCUCUUACUGAACCUGAAGCUCCUUGAUUCAGGGGGUGUGGCUGGCCAGCAAGCCUCAGGGAUGCCCUUGGCGUCCCGGGUACUAGGAUUAGAGGCACCAGCUUCCACAUGAGUGGUGGGUACUGGAAAUCUGAACUCACAGCUUCAUAUUUGUGUAGCAAGGGAUUUCCAAAUUGAGCUAUCUCCCUGCCUGUCUUUAUCCCCUCCCCCCACUUGUUUAGUUUAACACAUGUGACCCACAGAGCCGAGGCCU
rnacentral:lncRNA from 1 species